AAUCCACUGAUAAGGGAUCUCUCGGUUUCUGUAUCGAUGAAGAACGCAGAAGCGUGCGAUAAUCGGCAGUAUUUCUUAGACGUGACUGUGCGGUCUUCGAAUUUGUGGCGU
rnacentral:rRNA from 1 species